ACGGAGGGAGCAAGCGUUGUUCGGAUUUACUGGGCGUAAAGGGCGUCUAGGCGGGCUGAUAAGUCAGAUGUGAAAUACCUCGGCUCAACCGGGGAACUGCAUUUGAAACUGUUAGUCUUGAGUACGGAAGAGGAAAGCGGAAUUCCUGGUGUAGCGGUGAAAUGCGUAGAUAUCAGGAAGAACACCGGUGGCGAAGGCGGCUUUCUGGUCCGUUACUGACGCUGAAGCGCGAAAGUGUGGGGAGCAAACAG
rnacentral:rRNA from 1 species